UCGGCUGUCGCCAAGUGGUAAGGCACAGGACUUUGACUCCUGGAUUCAUUGGUUCAAAUCCAAUCAGCCGAG
rnacentral:tRNA from 1 species